UUUCAGCGAUCCGAGCCACAGCGGCUGAUCCUCCGCCCGCUCCUGGCCGUAGGUGGCGAGGAGUGCCUGGGCCUC
rnacentral:antisense_RNA from 1 species